rnacentral:tRNA from 1 species
UAGAAUGUGGUGUAAUAUGGUAGCACGAAGAUUUUU